AGAAUCAACGCUGGCGGCGUGCCUAACACAUGCAAGUCGAACGAGAAAGUCCGCAAGGAUGAGUAAAGUGGCGACCGGGUGAGUAACACGUGACUAACCUACCUUUUAGUGGGGGAUAACUCCGGGAAACCGGGGCUAAUACCGCAUAACAUCGCAAGAUCAAAGCAGCAAUGCGCUGGAAGAGGGGGUCGCGGCUGAUUAGCUAGUUGGCGGGGUAAUGGCCCACCAAGGCGAAGAUCGGUAUCCGGCCUGAGAGGGCGCACGGACACACUGGAACUGAAACACGGUCCAGACUCCUACGGGAGGCAGCAGUGGGAAUUUUGCGCAAUGGGGGAAACCCUGACGCAGCAACGCCGCGUGGAGGAUGAAGUCCCUUGGGACGUAAACUCCUUUCGACCAAGACGAUAAUGACGGUACUGGUGGAAGAAGCACCGGCUAACUCUGCGCCAGCAGCCGC
rnacentral:rRNA from 1 species